AUACGUAGGGUGCGAGCGUUGUCCGGAAUUACUGGGCGUAAAGAGCUCGUAGGUGGUUUGUCGCGUCGUCUGUGAAAUUCCGGGGCUUAACUCCGGGCGUGCAGGCGAUACGGGCAUAACUUGAGUACUGUAGGGGAGACUGGAAUUCCUGGUGUAGCGGUGAAAUGCGCAGAUAUCAGGAGGAACACCGGUGGCGAAGGCGGGUCUCUGGGCAGUAACUGACGCUGAGGAGCGAAAGCAUGGGUAGCGAACAGGAUUAGAUACCCUGGUAGUCCAUGCCGUAAACGGUGGGCGCUAGGUGUAGGGGUCUUCCACGACUUCUGUGCCGUAGCUAACGCAUUAAGUGCCCCGCCUGGGGAGUACGGCCGCAAGGCUAAAACUCAAAGGAAUUGACGGGG
rnacentral:rRNA from 1 species